rnacentral:rRNA from 1 species
AUUGAACGCUGGCGGCAUGCCUUACACAUGCAAGUCGAACGGCAGCAUGGAGAGCUUGCUCUCUGAUGGCGAGUGGCGAACGGGUGAGUAAUGCAUCGGAACGUACCGUGUAAUGGGGGAUAACGUAGCGAAAGUUACGCUAAUACCGCAUACGACCUGAGGGUGAUAGCAGGGGAUCGCAAGACCUUGCGUUAUACGAGCGGCUGAUGUCAGAUUAGCUAGUUGGUGAGGUAAAGGCUCACCAAGGCGACGAUCUGUAGCGGGUCUGAGAGGAUGAUCCGCCACACUGGGACUGAGACACGGCCCAGACUCCUACGGGAGGCAGCAGUGGGGAAUUUUGGACAAUGGGGGCAACCCUGAUCCAGCCAUGCCGCGUGAGUGAAGAAGGCCUUCGGGUUGUAAAGCUCUUUCGGCCGGGAAGAAAUCGCACAGGCUAAUACUCUGUGUGGAUGACGGUACCGGCAUAAGAAGCACCGGCUAACUACGUGCCAGCCGCCGCAGUAA